ACGGCUCAGUAACACGUAGUCAAUCUACCCUAUGGACGGGAAUAACCUCGGGAAACUGAGAAUAAUGCCCGAUAGAACAUUAUGCCUGGAAUGGUUUAUGUUUCAAAUGAUUUAUCGCCAUAGGAUGGGACUGCGGCCUAUCAGUUUGUUGGUGAGGUAAUGGCCCACCAAGACUAUUACAGGUACGGGCUCUGAGAGGAGUAGCCCGGAGAUGGGUACUGAGACACGGACCCAGGCCCUAUGGGGCGCAGCAGGCGAGAAAACUUUGCAAUGUGCGAAAGCACGACAAGGUUAAUCCGAGUGGCUUCUGCUAAAGAAACCUUUUGUCAGUCCUAGAAACACUAACGAAUAAGGGGUGGGCAAGUUCUGGUGUCAGCCGCCGCGGUAAAACCAGCACCUCAAGUGGUCAGGAUGAUUAUUGGGCCUAAAGCAUCCGUAGCCCGUUUUGUAAGUUUUCGGUUAAAUCCAUGCGCUUAACGUAUGGGCUGCCGGGAAUACUGCAUAACUAGGAAGUGGGAGAGGUAGACGGUACUCGUAGGAAGGGGUAAAAUCCUUUGAUCUAUUGAUGACCACCUGUGGCGAAGGCGGUCUACCAGAACACGUUCGACGGUGAGGGAUGAAAGCUGGGGGAGCAAACCGGAUUAGAUACCCGGGUAGUCCCAGCUGUAAACUAUGCAAACUCAGUGAUGCAUUGGCUUAUGGCCAAUGCAGUGCUGCAGGGAAGCCGUUAAGUUUGCCGCCUGGGAAGUACGUACGCAAGUAUGAAACUUAAAGGAAUUGGCGGGGGAGCAC
rnacentral:rRNA from 1 species